UACGGAGGGGGCUAGCGUUGUUCGGAAUUACUGGGCGUAAAGCGCACGUAGGCGGAUCAGUCAGUUAGGGGUGAAAUCCCAGGGCUCAACCCUGGAACUGCCUUUAAGACUGCAUCGCUUGAAUCCAGGAGAGGUGAGUGGAAUUCCGAGUGUAGAGUUGAAAUUCGUAGAUAUUCGGAAGAACACCAGUGGCGAAGGCGGCUCACUGGACUGGUAUUGACGCUGAGGUGCGAAAGCGUGGGGAGCAAACAGG
rnacentral:rRNA from 1 species